GAUGAACGCUGUCGGCGUGCCUAAUACAUGCAAGUCGAGCUAAGCGGGGACGGGUGAGUAACACGUGGAUAACCUCCUAUAAGACUGGGAUAACUUCGGUAAACCGGAGCUAAACCGGAUACUAAUAGAUGGAUCCGCUCUGCAUUAGCUAGUUGGUUAGGUAACGGCUUACCAAGGCAACGAUGCAUAGCCGACCUGAGAGGGGGAUCGGCCACACUGGGACGGAGACACGGUCCAGACUCCGACGGGAGGCAGCAGUAGGGAAUCUUCCGCAAUGGGCGCAAGCCUGACAGAGCAACGCCGCGUGAGUGAUGAAGGUCUUCGGAUCGUAAAACUCUGUUAUUAGGGAAGCGGUACCUACUCAGAAAGCCACGGCUAACUACGUGCCAGCAGCCGCGGUAAUUC
rnacentral:rRNA from 1 species